rnacentral:rRNA from 1 species
UAUCUCUGUAGAGUCUGCAUAUCAAUAAGCGGAGGAAAAGAAACUAACAAGGAUUCCCUUAGUAACGGCGAGUGAAGCGGGAAGAGCUCAAAUUUGAAAUCUUCAAGGUUCUACCUCGACGAAUUGUAGUUUAAAGAAGUGUUUUCUGUUAGAUGAGUAGCAAAAGUUCCUUGGAAUGGGACAUCAUAGAGGGUGAGAAUCCCGUAUUUGGUUAUUCAUUCUAGCUUUGUGAUACACUUUCAAAGAGUCGGAUUGUUUGGGAAUGCAGUCCAAAAUGGGUGGUAAAUUUCAUCUAAAGCUAAAUAUUGGCGAGAGACCGAUAGCGAACAAGUACCGUGAGGGAAAGAUGAAAAGAACUUUGAAAAGAGAGUUAAACAGUACGUGAAAUUGUCAAAAGGGAAGCGUUUGACACCAGUGUUGUUUUUCCGAAAAUCAAUUACGAAUGGCUUGAUUUUGUGUUGUAUUGACCUUAUCAGCUUUCUUCACUUUUUUCGAGUCUUUCUUAAUGCACUUUUCGGCUAACAAGUCAACAUCAAUUUCUUUUGUUGUAAAAGAGUAUUCGGAAGGUGGCUUUCUUUUCGGAGAAAGUGUUUAUAGCCCUAUAACUUCUACAAUCGGAGAGAUUGAGGUCUGCAGCGUAGAUCCUUCGGGGUUAGAUACACUUGUGCUAAGUUGUAGCUUUUCAUAGACAACUUGUUGACUAUGUUUAGUCAUGCGGCUUACUCGCUUAUGCUAUUUUACCUACGCUUAGGAUGUUGACUGAUAUGUAGUCGU